UACGGAGGGGGCUAGCGUUGUUCGGAAUUACUGGGCGUAAAGCGCACGUAGGCGGCUUUGCAAGUUAGAGGUGAAAGCCCGGGGCUCAACUCCGGAAUUGCCUUUAAAACUGCAUCGCUAGAAUUGUGGAGAGGUAAGUGGAAUUCCGAGUGUAGAGGUGAAAUUCGUAGAUAUUCGCAAGAACACCAGUGGCGAAGGCGGCUCACUGGCCCGUUACUGACGCUGAGGCACGAAAGCGUGGGGAGCAAACAGG
rnacentral:rRNA from 1 species